rnacentral:rRNA from 1 species
GGAGCCAGCCGUCGAAGGUGGGGUAGAUGAUUGGGGUGAAGUCGUAACAAGGUAGCCGUAUCGGAAGGUGCGGCUGGAUCACCUCCUUUCUAAGGA